CAAACUCUGCGUCUAUAUGGUAAUAAACCUGGAUUAGAAGAUAGAAGGCAAGAAUCGGACGUGGCCAUAUUCUAUCUCAAAAAUAAUGAUGGAUUAAGGGGUGGCUAUAUUGCUUAUCACCCUCGUAAACUGCCGUCUAUUGAGGAAGGGGUUUUAUGUGGUAAGCAACCUAAACCAAAAGAACCAUGGAAGUUGCUUACAGUAGAGGAGAGCACUAAAAUUUCUCAACUGCGUUUAUCCAACCCUUCAUUUUACUCAAUUUCGGUUCUCUCAAAAUUGUUUAAGAUUCCUAAAGCACAAGUUGCCCGAAUUCAACCUAUCGGUGGGAAGACCAUUUCUGAGGAAGAUGAGCGUAAAGUACUUAAAAAUGCCACUCGAAAAGAAAAAAGGCAGCUUUAUUUAAAAAAAUUUAAUAGCGUGCAAAGGCGUGUAGAGAGGGCUAAACCACUUUUAGACAAUACUCGUGAAUCUCAGAAUUAAGAUUCUUCAGCAAAAUUAAAGCAGCUUUUAUUAUUCAAUAGCGUUUGUAUUUA